UACGUAGGGUGCAAGCGUUGUCCGGAAUUACUGGGCGUAAAGAGUUCGUAGGCGGUUUGUCGCGUCGUUUGUGAAAACUCACAGCUCAACUGUGAGCCUGCAGGCGAUACGGGCAGACUUGAGUACUGCAGGGGAGACUGGAAUUCCUGGUGUAGCGGUGAAAUACGCAGAUAUCAGGAGGAACACCGGUGGCGAAGGCGGGUCUCUGGGCAGUAACUGACGCUGAGGAACGAAAGCGUGGGUAGCAAACAGG
rnacentral:rRNA from 1 species